UACGUAGGGGGCUAGCGUUGUCCGGAAUCAUUGGGCGUAAAGCGCGUGUAGGCGGCCCGGUAAGUCCGCUGUGAAAGUCGGGGGCUCAACCCUCGGAUGCCGGUGGAUACUGUCGGGCUAGAGUGCGGAAGAGGCGAGUGGAAUUCCUGGUGUAGCGGUGAAGUGCGCAGAUAUCAGGAGGAACACCAAUUGCGAAGGCAGCUCGCUGGGACGUGACUGACGCUGAGACGCGAAAGCGUGGGGAGCAAACAGG
rnacentral:rRNA from 1 species